GCGCCGCGGUAACACCGGCGGCCGAGUGGUGAUCGUGAUUAUUGGGUCUAAAGGGUCCGUAGCCGGUUUGGUCAGUCCUCCGGGAAAUCUGAUAGCUCAACUAUUAGGCUUUCGGGGGAUACUGCCAGACUUGGAACCGGGAGAGGUAAGAGGUACUACAGGGGUAGGAGUGAAAUCUUGUAAUCCCUGUGGGACCACCUGUGGCGAAGGCGUCUUACCAGAACGGGUUCGACGGUGAGGGACGAAAGCUGGGGGCACGAACCGGAUUAGAUACCCGGGUAGUCCCAGCCGUAAACGAUGCUCGCUAGGUGUCAGGCAUGGCGCGACCGUGUCUGGUGCCGCAGGGAAGCCGUGAAGCGAGCCACCUGGGAAGUACGGCCGCAAGGCUGAAACUUAAAGGAAUUGGCGGGGGAGCACAACAACGGGUGGAGCCCUGCGGUUUAAUUGGACUCAACGCCGGACAACUCACCGGGGGCGACAGCAAUAUGUAGGCCAAGCUGAAGACUUUGCCUGAAUCGCUGAGAAGAGGUGCAUGG
rnacentral:rRNA from 1 species